AAUUCAUACAUCAAUUAAUUCAGCAAACAUUUUUGUCAAAUGCCAAGGAAAAGUAAUUAUUUCUGCAAUAUAUUCAAUGCCAUUUUAGUCAAUUCCUCUAACCUGAAAAAUUCUGACAGCCGUAUUUUUGAGAAUUUGAUGACUCUUUUUAAACUCUUUUGAAAGAAGACUGCCAGAUGUAUUGCUGCGUUCACAUAUGUGCAUGCAUGUGCGAAUAAAGUAAUUAAAUGAUCCUUAGGUAGUUUGCAAAAAAUAAAAAUAAAAAUAAAAAAUAAAUGAAAAUAAAAGGUUCGUUUUCCUCUCCAGGGUCCAAUAUGCCAUGCCCGGUAGAGUGUCUUUCACACUCCAGAAUGGUCGAACCUCCAGCUAGCUUCCAGAGGGAACUUCCUACAGAAUGACAUAACCAGCUCCCUGCUGCCUCCAGCAACACAGGUGAUGUUUCAAAAUCAGAGCCUGAUUUUCCUCCCUGGUCUCACGGGUGAUAUUCCUGCCCGUGUGCCUGAUCGUCUAAGCAUGUCCAACUUUUUCUCACUGUCCUGAAUUCACAGUGCCUUUUCCUAUCUCCUUGCAUUUGCAUCUGCUGUCCCCUUUGCCUGGAACAUCUCUCUCUUUCUUCCCAGCUCACACGUCACUUCCUCUUUGUGAAGUCUUACCUGAAAUCUCCAGACCAUUAGUGCCUCUGUCAUCUGUUUUACCAGAGUUUUCUGUUCAUGUCUUCGUCAUAGCCCAUCCCAUGUAUGGACUGACAGCCAAGGACACAGUGAGCUAGUUCCCAUUAGACCAUCAGCCACAGAAGUUGGGGACCACUGUGUGACCCUACAGCAGCAUGGCACUCUCCCUGCUCUCCGAAGGAGCUCUAGGAAGGUCUGCUGAGUGAACCACUGUAAGAAGGAAUAAACUCUAGGAUGUGCUGCUGCAAAGUGACUUGAAUUUUGAUUCCCAUUCGUUGGAGCUUGCCAAGGACGCAGCUUAAAUCACCUUGUCGUAAUGGGAGAAGAGGAGGAAGAGCAAUGAUUAAAUGUGCCUGAUAAAACUCUAUUUCAUGUUUGGAAUAAAAAAAGGGAAGGUUGAGAUAAAACAGUGCUUGU
rnacentral:lncRNA from 1 species